rnacentral:rRNA from 1 species
UACGAAGGGGGCUAGCGUUGUUCGGAAUUACUGGGCGUAAAGCGCGCGCAGGCGGUUCUCCAAGUCAGUGGUGAAAGCCCGGAGCUCAACUCCGGAAUUGCCAUUGAAACUGUUGAACUUGAGGAUGAGAGAGGUGAGUGGAAUUCCCAGUGUAGAGGUGAAAUUCGUAGAUAUUGGGAAGAACACCGGUGGCGAAGGCGGCUCACUGGCUCAUUACUGACGCUCAGGCGCGAUAGCGUGGGGAGCAAACAGG